GCCACACACUCUUAAAAACUGGAUCUCAUGAGAACUCACUCAAUAUCAUGAGAACAGCACUAAGGAUGGCACCAAACCAUCUGGAGUAAUGCACUGCCAUGAUCCAACCCCCUCUCACCAGGCCCCACAUCCAGCGCUGGGAAUUAUGAUUCAGCCUGAGAUCUGGGUGGGGACACACAUCCAAACCCCAUCACAAACAAACAAGCAACAAGAACGCAGUGAACCCCAUUUGCUCUCUCAAGGAAAUAACCGUUUCUAAUGUAAAGUAAUCAGCAAAGCUGAUUAGCUGAAAGAGUUAAAUGAAAAAAUUAAGAAGGGUUAGGAGGUGCAGGGGAAGCCAGUUAAACUUGUUUUUUUUUUUUAAAGUGUUUUUUUGUUUUCUCUUCUCUCUCUCUCUCUUUUUUUUUUUUUGCAAGAGGCCUCGGUUUGCAGUCUGCAGAGCUACAUGGCUGGCGGGAGACCCCUGAAAAGAAACCGGAGGAGCUAGCUGACAAAAGAUUGGAAUCCUGGGGCCUUCCGUGUGGUCACCCUUCAUUGCUCUCGUGUGACUCCCUGAAGGAGCCCUUCUCUCCCAUUCUGGACCUUCCAAAGCCAUCUGCCUACCUGGCCUGGUCCAUCGCAGAUACUGGUCCAUGGUCAGUUCCCUGUCUCCGCAGAGCCCUGCCCUCCUCCUCCACGGGGUCUCUGACUUCCCACUUGCCACGCCCCUCUCGGGACUUGCGGAGGUGUUGCAGAAACCGGUGCCAGUGGGUGCGGGGGAGAAUGCCUGGAUCUGGACUCAGACUAACUAGAGUUCUGAUUCUGGUGCUGGGAUUUAUCAGCUGUGGAAGACCAGACACAUUCAGCUCUUCCAUGACUUCAGUAUACAUCCCAAACUGAAGAGCACUGAUAGUCUGACCCUGGUAAAUGUUUGUCAGCGUGUGACUAUAUAGGUAAGAGCAACACUCAAAGGGUAAGAAGAGGUGGAGCUUAGUUACUCCCCUGGGAACUAUGGGCAACCUGAUGCAAGGGUUUGAGUCAUAUGGGAGAGAUGAGGAUGCUGUGCCCUAGGGAGACAGAGUGGCCUCCAUAAGGUCAUACUGUGACGGUGCUGGGUUAGGAAGUGGGGCUGAUUUUCUGUCUGCCAAACCUGACCUUCCCACCACCCUCCCUCAACCUCCUAGGCAGGGACACAGCCCUCAGAAAGGGCCCAGGAGCUGACACCCUUCACCCACUGUGAAGGCACACUGGACACAGCGAUCAGCGUGUUCCCUGAGAUGAAAGACAGAGCUCCACUGACCUCCAAGUUAAACGUAUAUCCCCAGAGCAUGGAGGUGUCUGGAACCCGCUCUGCCUCCCAGCCAAGCCCAGGAGAGCUGUGGGAAGAGCUGGUCUCUUCCGCUCCCUGAUGGGCUCAUCAAUCAGUGACCUUCCGAAA
rnacentral:lncRNA from 13 species